UAGUGGCGGACGGGUGAGUAACGCGUAGGUAUCUGUCCUGGGGUGGGGGAUAACAGCGGGAAACUGCUGCUAAUACCGCAUGACACCUGAGGGUCAAAGGCGCGAGUCGCCUUGGGAGGAGCCUGCGUCCGAUUAGCUAGUUGGUGGGGUAACUGCCUACCAAGGCGACGAUCGGUAGCUGGUCUGAGAGGAUGAUCAGCCACAUUGGGACUGAGACACGGCCCAAACUCCUACGGGAGGCAGCAGUGGGGAAUAUUGGACAAUGGGCGCAAGCCUGAUCCAGCAAUGCCGCGUGGAUGAAGAAGGUCUUCGGAUUGUAAAGUCCUUUCGACGGGGACGAUGAUGACGGUACCCGUAGAAGAAGCCCCGGCUAACUUCGUGCCAGCAGCCGCGGUAAUACGAAGGGGGCUAGCGUUACUCGGAAUGACUGGGCGUAAAGGGCGCGUAGGCGGUUUGCUUAGUUAGGCGUGAAAUUCCUGGGCUCAACCUGGGGGCUGCGCUUAAUACAGGCAGGCUAGAGUGUGAAAGAGGGUCGUGGAAUUUCCAGUGUAGAGGUGAAAUUCGUAGAU
rnacentral:rRNA from 1 species